GGACCUGUAGCCAAGCCUGGUGGUUCUAUUAUUUAUGAAAAUCGGGUAAAUAUGGCGUCGGACUUCUAAUCCGAAGAUCGCAGGUUCGAGUCCUGCCAGGUCCG
rnacentral:tRNA from 1 species